rnacentral:rRNA from 1 species
AACGAACGCUGGCGGCGUGCCUAACACAUGCAAGUCGAGCGAGCAGAUCCCUUCGGGGUGAAGCUAGCGGCGGACGGGUGAGUAACACGUGGGCAACCUGCCUCAUAGAGGGGAAUAGCCUUCCGAAAGGAAGAUUAAUACCGCAUAAGAUUGUAGCUUCGCAUGAAGCAGCAAUUAAAGGAGCAAUCCGCUACGAGAUGGGCCCGCGGCGCAUUAGCUAGUUGGUGAGGUAACGGCUCACCAAGGCGACGAUGCGUAGCCGACCUGAGAGGGUGAUCGGCCAGAUUGGGACUGGGACACGGCCCAGACUCCUACGGGGGGCAGCAGUGGGGAAUAUUGCACAAUGGGGGAAACCCUGAUGCAGCAAUGCCGCGUGAGUGAUGACGGCCUUCGGGUUGUAAAGCUCUGUCUUCGGGGACGAUAAUGACGGUACCCGAGGAGGAAGCCACGGCUAACUACGUGCCAGCAGCCGCAGUAA